UGCCAGCCGCCGAGGUAAUACUGGGGGAGCGAGCGUUGUUCGGAAUCACUGGGCGUAAAGCGUGCGCAGGCGGAUUGGAAAGUCAGACGUGAAAUCCCAAGGCUCAACCUUGGAACUGCGUUUGAAACUUCCUUUCUAGAGUAUGGUAGAGGUUGGGAGAAUUCCUAGUGUAGAGGUGAAAUUCGUAGAUAUUAGGAGGAAUACCAGUGCCGUAGGCGCCCAACUGGACCAUUACUGACGCUCAGGCACGAAAGCGUGGGGAGCAAACAGGAUUAGAUA
rnacentral:rRNA from 1 species